GUAUCAAUUGUGUGGACCUUGGUUUUACAAAACCAUGAUUCAUCAUUUCACAUUACUUAAGCAUGUACUCUCUCUCUCUCUCUCUCUCUCUCUCUCUCUAGUUUUUUUGGGUAGGUAGGCAUAUGGUCUUCUCCAUGCCAUUAACUCAUUUAUGAGCACAAAGAGGUAGCAGUAAGGUGAAAGAUUGCAGGCAAAAAAAUUGUAAAUAGCAUAAUGAGUUUUUGGUAGUUAGAAGGACUAGCUUUUGAUUAUCUUGUUUGGAUAAAUUGACUUUGCUAUUUGUUUAUGUUGUUAUCUGCAA